rnacentral:rRNA from 1 species
CAGCAGUGGGGAAUAUUGGACAAUGGGCGAAAGCCUGAUCCAGCAAUGCCGCGUGAGUGAUGAAGGCCUUAGGGUUGUAAAGCUCUUUUACCCGGGAUGAUAAUGACAGUACCGGGAGAAUAAGCCCCGGCUAACUCCGUGCCAGCAGCCGCGGUAAUACGGAGGGGGCUAGCGUUAUUCGGAAUUACUGGGCGUAAAGCGCACGUAGGCGGCUUUGUAAGUCAGAGGUGAAAGCCUGGAGCUCAACUCCAGAACUGCCUUUGAGACUGCAUCGCUUGAAUCCAGGAGAGGUGAGUGGAAUUCCGAGUGUAGAGGUGAAAUUCGUAGAUAUUCGGAAGAACACCAGUGGCGAAGGCGGCUCACUGGACUGGUAUUGACGCUGAGGUGCGAAAGCGUGGGGAGCAAACAGGAUUAGA